AAAUAAUUGUAUAUAUGAGAAUUCAAGCCUAAAACGCUGAUAAAAGUCAUAAACAUCUUCCAUCUGUCCUUCAUCGAUAACGGAGGCCGACUUGUGUGGAAAGUUUGACUAAAUCUAAAACCACAGAUCCUAUCAGAGUCCUGCGCCUUCACAUGUCACACAAACACCAUCUGAUCUGGUUUCUUCUGCCACGUCUUCGAUGUUCUGAUAAAAGUCUGAAGUAAAAAGAGGGUGAGGCUGGUUUAACGCUGCAGACGUCCACAGAUACCGGACCGACGCGUCAGAGGGAGGAGCUUCACUGUUUGACUGAACGCUAGUAGAAAAGUGCUCAGGUUUGUGUUGGUACGCCUCAACAUGUCCACUGAUCCUGAGGCCGGACCACAACCCCAUCCAGAUGUGAGACGGAGCCCAGAAAUCCAAGAGGAAAGUGAAGAUCCAGGUGAAGUGUGUGAGAGAGCACAACUGAAGGGAGGGCGUGUUGUGAUUGGUCGUCCAGUCGUCAGGAGAAGCCGGUGCUGCAGCGUUCCUGCACUGAUUCAACAUCUGCUGAUUGUUCUGUUGGUUCUGAUUCUGGGUGGACUCUACGCACGAUGUAAACCUCUGCUCUGACUCACAAACGCAACAUGGCACAUAUUAAACACCACUAUAUUUUUGCCACUGUGGAAAGACAAAACCUGCUGCUGGAAAUACAGCAGCUCCAGAUCACCAGAAAUGAACUGAACAACACCAGAAAUGACCUGAACAACACCGUGAAUGAAUUGAACAACACCGUUACUGAGCUAAACACAAAGAAUAAUCAAGUCAACAUCACUAUUACAGAGAGGGACACAACUAUUGAGAGUCUGAAACGGCCACAGCCAACGGCGGAGCCAACGCACAGCCAACACCGGAGCCAACACCGGAGCCAAAGCCAGAGCCAACGCUGGAGCCAACACCGGAGCCAAAGCCAGAGCCAACGCUGGAGCCAACACUGGAGCCAACACUGGAGCCAACGCUGGAGCCAACGCUGGAGCCAACGCUGGAGCCAACACUGGAGCCAACGCUGGAGCCGUACCUGAACCCAUACCCAGAGGACCCAGAGUCUAUACACUUUAUUGACCGCGGUUUUGAGUGAAACUGUUGAUUUCAACCCAGAACAAGAUGUUACUGUAGUUGUUUUUGUGAUAAAUCAGGGUCGUCUGGUUCGUCUUUUCAUGUCAUUUUGAACAUAUUCUGUCUAGAUACUGUAGACAGACAGACAGACAGACAGAAAGAGAGACAGACAGACAGACAGACAGACAGAUAGAUAGAUAGAUAGAUAGAUAGAUAGAUAGAUAGAUAGAGGUCCAUGAACGACCAUAUGAACAAGAUGAACAAAUGAUGAAGAUGUUGUUAAUGCUGUUCAUGUUUUUGUAGAGAGCGUCCCAUGAAAUAAUGAGAUGGACAGAGAUGAAGCCGUUUGGAAAAACAGCGACUGGAAGAAUCUGAAGAAAAAAGUUCAAUGCUUUGUCUUUUUCUUGUGUAUUUUUGUUUCUCUGUAUUUUUUUAACCAACAGUGUUUUUUUUUCUGAU